rfam:Ictidomys tridecemlineatus contig039917, whole genome shotgun sequence.
GGGGUUAUGGCUCAGUGGUAGAGCACUCACCUACCAUGUGUGAGGCCUUGGGUUCAAUACUCAGCACCA